rnacentral:lncRNA from 1 species
AACCCUUAUAGGAGUUUUCUCCACUUAUGUAUUUAAAAUCAGUAUUUCUCCACAACCAUACAAGUGAUUGACCUGGGUCUUUUGAUUUGAGAUCACUGACCUAUGACCUCAAAAUUGAGGUCAAGGUCAAAGGUCAAUUUGACGUUCUAGAUUUUGACCGUUGCUAAAAAUUCUUUCUAGUUCAUUAUAAAACAAUUAAGUCUACUGCAUAAAC